GGCUUUUGCUUUUAAAAGACUCGUGGAUUGAGUCAUAUUUAAAAAUUUUUCAGUAAAUGAGUAGUGUGUGACAUGGAAAACUGUUUAGAAUAGGUUUAUGAGAGGCUUAUAAAGAAUUAUUCUUUUUAAAAAAAUAAAUAAGCAUUUAGAUUUAUUUCAGGAAAAACUUUUGAUAUUGCAGUCAGUUGUCAGAACCCAUCUCUAAGUGGAUUUUAAACUCUAGGGCAAGCAUGUCAAACUCAAGACCUAUAGGCCGCAUGCAGCCCACAAUGAAUAUUUUGGCAGCCCAGCCAAUAUAACUAUGUAAGAAAUGUUUUAAUAAUUUUAUGACUUAAUUUUUAUAAUAUUCUGUUAUACAUAAUUAUUAAUAACAAGUUGCAAUGUUCGCUAAUGACUGAUUACUGUAAUCAUGUUGCAUUAAUUUCUCUUAAUACUCUAAGUGCACCAUUUCUCUCCACUAAUACUAGCAGUGAAUAUUUUGGCAGCCGAUUUCCACAUCAUCGGCUAGUUAGUCUUGUACUGACUUGUUUGGUGUGCGCCAACAGGAAAUAUUUUUAUUUCAGAGAAGAAAAAUAGGUUUAUUUGCAUUAUGCUUAUUAAUUUGUGCAGUUAUUCAGUGUCUGAUAAGUCAAUGUUCAAGAAAAAUUAUUAAUUUUUAUUAAAAUGUUCUAUUAUUUUAUAUUAACGAUUAAUCCUUUCUUUCAGCCCUUUGUGUUCAGCGUGUCUCUAUCAAGAUAAACCCACAUUUUUAUGAAAA